CAAAAGAACCACAUAUUCGUGAUCCUCGUAAAAUUUGUGGUCAACAGUUGAGGAGCUAUUGCUACUUCCGGUAUACUUCCGGAAAAUUUUCGACAAACUAGCAACAUUAAACUGCAAGGAACUCCAUCAGCAGCUCUAAGAAGAUCUAGCCGGACUAAAUUACCCAUCAGCCCAUCUCCAAACGACGUGUCACUUUCCGCAGGACGUACCACGCGAAUGAUGGCAUCCUGACUGCACGAAGUGGCCUGAACUACGAAGAAAACAGCCGUUUCACGCUCGUUUUACAGGCUGAAGAUCUUGCAAAAGAGCCUGGAGCUGCCUUAACCAGUACAGCUACUGUAAUGGUCGAAGUUCUUGAUGUUCAAGACCAGCCUCCAGUGUUUUUAAACGCACCCUAUCGACCUGUCAUUCAUGAGAACAGUCCAGCCGGCCAUUCACUAAUGAAAGUACUCGUGCGAGACGGAGACACUGGUCAACCUCGAGAUUUACAGCUUGACAUCGUCGACGACCCUCUAGGAUAUUUUCGUGUAAGUUCAUUCAAGAUGAAUGACAACAUUGGAACUGCCAGCAUUGUGGCAUCUGACAACCCAAUUGAUCGCGAGGAUCAAGUUAUACUGCGGAAUGGAGGCACCUAUUCAUUUGGG